rnacentral:tRNA from 1 species
GGGGAUUUAGCUUAGCGGCAUAAGUGCCUGCCUUGCAAGCAUGUGGUCGUGAGUUCAAUCCCUG